UCUGCGGAUGCCGAUCCCAAGACUGUAUGCUUUUGAAAGAAAAGUCCAGUCUCAAUAACAAGGAAGGAGUGUAGUUUGUAGCUAUGAGGUACAAGGAGGCAAGGUUAUAGGCUGGACGACCAGUUGAGCUAUUGCAAUAGUUUUGAGGUCCUGACUCGGAGGUUCAGAAGUGGGACGCGAUCAAGAGAAUCAAUUGGACGUGGCAGAACUGUGCGCGGUGAUCAGUGUUCACUUCUCGAGUGUGGAGCUGUGAUGACCACAGAGACGACCGAGCUGGGGAGCACUGGAGAAGGAAACCCAGCAGGCAUGCUGUGAGGAAGUCCAAGAAGCCACAUGGAAAGUCCAAAUGGAAGACAACUCAGGAUCUAGGACCCUCGUUCCAGCUGCGUUUCUGCCAAUGGCACCAACCUGCCAGGGGCUGUUGUUUCAACCUGGAAGAUGUGAUAUUAAGUGUCACGUCGAGGAGACUCAGUCACCCAUUCUUGAGAUGCCUUUUUAAUGCUGACACAUCACUGGCACAGAGGAACAGUACCCAGGGUGCAGUAGCACAGAGCAGUUACCAGAAGAGCAGAGAACCCUGUGUUAUCAACAGCAUCAAUUUCUGCUUCUGCGACCCACACUUGUUCUCUCCGGUAAUGGCUCAUCUCACUUUGCUGUAAUUAAAAGAAAUGCCAUCCACUUGCCUCCCCAAGUUCCCACCCUGUGUCGGGCCCUGUGCACGGGAGCUGGUGACGUCAGGGUGGAUGCAGACAGAGGCGUGGGGCUUUGU